CGAGGCAGGAGGAUGAACCGAGCCCAGGAGUUUGAGGUUGCUGUGAGCUAGUCUGACACCAAGGCACCCUAGCCCCGGUGACAGGGUGUAGGAUGGAGGGCCGAAGAAGCAGACUCCAGGCUGAACAUUCAGGAAUGACUUUGAGAGUCGUGCUGCAGAACGGAGCCACCAAAGGAGCCACUGCCUCUUCUAAAAUCAGGAAGUCAUGUACUGAAUUGGGAAGCUGUCACUAUACUUACCAGCUCUUGAGCCACACAGAGCUGUGAAACAUAUUGCUGCAUCUACGAACGAUGGUUUGCGGGAGGGCCUUUCCCCUGGGGUGCUUCGCCUUCCUGUUCCAUCCUGGCCGCUGCCCUCUACCCGCUGUCGGCUGUGGUCCAAGCGUCCCCUCCCCUCCCCGUGAGGUGCCCUGAGUCUCCCGCGUUCUGACCUCUGCUUCCUGCAUCCCAGAAUUGUUCCUGUUUGUCCCCGUAUUCCAGUCUCUGAUUUUCUAAUAGCGACGCUAGCCAGUUCACAAGCGCGACAGGAUGCAUAAAGACGUUUGCAUUUGCAAGUAAGGCUGCCCUCUGACCUUUAGGAAGCCACUUUCCCUGUUUGCUUUUUCCAGACCCAAUUUCCCCCCGUCUUGUCAAUACUUCACAGGUAACUCAGGACAGAAGCCCCUGGCGGGCCACCCGGCCACAUGCUCAGCACCCAGCAAGCUGUUCCACGGGCUGCCACUGUGAACUCCCAGCUAGGAGCCAAUCAGAAUUCAGCAGCAUGUCUCCUUUCCCUCAUCCCCUUGUUUGUAUGUUGAAGAUACUUUAAGCAUGUAACAUAAGGAUACCUUGUAAACUAGGUCAGGUAAGGGUAUUUUAAGUUUGAAAAUGGUAAACUCAACAUUAAAAAUCGCUUUGAGAUAUUCAAUGAUUUGCUAGUGGGAUCGCGUCUGCUCCUUUUAAAAGGCUGUAAAAAGAAGGGGCUGUUUUCUGUUGUAGUUUUAACUAUUAAGUCUCACUGUAGUUGACAUUGUUUAGCAGGAACUGCUAACAGUGAAACUGAGAAAAAGAAACACAAACAUGAACAAAUGACCUUUUAUUUCGUACGGAGAUAUAAAGGCAAUUGUGUGCAGCAGCAAUCUGAUGGGCAGUCCAAAUUCUCGGGAGGAAGUAAAUUCACGCUAAAUGUCAGGAUGGCUGCUUGAAGAGAAGGUCAAAGGAGGAGAGAUGAGACAGAGACUACUACAGCUAAUAAAUAAAAUCUGCAAGCCACGUGGUUUGAGCACCACAACUUGAGAGUUAGGGGUUCUCCACGCUUAGUAAUUCUAGAGUCGUCAUCAACAUUCUUGAAGUGCAUUUUGUGCUAUUUUGCAGUGGAAGUUGCUCGUUAAGGAAACUUUAAUCCUUACAAAUAAUUGAAUCAUUUUAUUAAAGGAGUUAUAAGCUUUGCUUAUUGUCUGUCUUGGAUGUGGCCUUUGGGACGGAUAUCCUCUUUUAAGGGUUGUCAACAGGGCUGACACACUUGGUUGGUCCCAUUUUUGAGGUGAUGCUAGUUGUAACAGCAUAUUCUUUUUUUUAUUAUUAUUAUUAAGACAGAGUCUCACUCUGUUGCCUAGGCUAGAGUGCCAUGGU